UACGUAGGAGACGAGCGUUGUCCGGAAUACUGGGCGUAAAGCGUGCGCAGGCGGUUUUGUAAGUCUGUCGUGAAAGCCCCGGGCUCAACCUGGGAAUUGCGAUGGAGACUGCAAGGCUUGAAUCUGGCAGAGGGGGGUAGAAUUCCACGCGUAGCAGUGAAAUGCGUAGAGAUGUGGAGGAACACCGAUGGCGAAGGCAGCCCCCCUGGGUCAAGAUUGACGCUCAUGCACGAAAGCGUGGGGAGCAAACAGG
rnacentral:rRNA from 1 species